GCCGCUGUUUGUUUCCCUUCCCUCCCUCCCUGUUCUCCUUCGCCGCCUUUCUUUCUGCUUCUCUUUUCUCGCCGCAUCACCCGGAGCGGCGCGAUGCGCAGCAGCAGUGGCAUCAGCGAUGGCGAGGUGCUUAUCCGCCUAGAUACGUCGGCGCUGGAGAGUCGCCUCAACGCCUUUACAGAUCAAUGGGAAACGGCUCUGAAAGGCAUUCGUGCUCAGGUUGGGGAGUCUGCAGUUGAUUUGCAAUCCGUAGCCGCCGACGUAAACGCCAUUCAGAGCUUUCUGCUGUCGUAUCACGACCGGAAUAUGAGGACCGCGCUGAUGGCUCAUCCCACCGAGGCGAGCGAUGGCGCCGCCGAGUCCGCUACCCAAGGCGUGCUUGAUCGCUUUGUCGCCACCGCCACCGAGAGUGGCUCAACAGAGAACCUGCUAGGAAUGGUGGCCGUGGCGCGUCGCCUUUUAGGCGAGAACGCAGCCCUUCGCGCGUCUCUCGAUUCCGCUACGGCCGCCCUGUCCACGCACACAACAAGCAACGCCGACCUCACGCACGAGGUGGAGCAGUUACGGCAGCAAACAACACAGCAAUCAGCACUGUUGCAGAGCAUUACUUUGUGGCUCCGCACGUUGGGCUUGGCAAUCGACGACGGCGCAAGCGGGGCUAGCGGCGACGGGACUUCACUGCUCAUGAGCGCGUCGGCUGAGUCCGCAGGUGACGCGCACUCGAUGGAAUCCGUUCUUUCACGAUCUCCUCUGCUGCUGUCUUUUCGGCAGACCCUGCUGCGCGACCUCACGGAGCGCCUCACAUCGGUCGUGGACCAGCAGUCGAAGGACUUCCACGAUACCGUGGCCCGCCUCGAGGACCGUCUGCAGAGAGGUGGGAAGGGCACUGCUUACUUAGCCGGUGUGCAUUCGGCCGGUGCUGCCGAAGAUCUGCAGGAAACUGUCCGAUCCUUGAGCAAUCGGCUCAAAGACAUGGAUAAGCGUGUGGUGAAGCGGGACGAAUUCGCGUCGCUCAUGCGAACCAAGGCGGACUCGCUGCUGCUGCCGGCAAAGGCGGACAACGCGGCACUGACUGAUUUGGAGGCGCGCCUGGUGACACGGUGCGCUGAGUUGGAGGAGCGAUGCGCCUUUGCCGACGCAGAGCGUUCAGAGUUUCGUGCACUUCUGCGCUCUAUCAUUGUGAGCCAAGCGCACCCAACGGUUGCCGCGGCACCACCGAGUCUCCAGGAGGCCUCACGGACGAAUGGGCAAGUGCAGUCGAAAGCACGAGCACGAGGAACGCUACUUGGCGAAAUUCUUCCGGCAGUGAGAGACGGCUCUUCUGUUGCGGCGCCGGCGCCGGCGCUGCCGGCCAGGGAUGAGGGUGUCCUCCCUCGCUCGCGUGGUGCUUCAGCCUCGCAACAGCUCUACCGAGUCUUGGGCACCUCACACGGCAGCCGUGUGCACGGCGUCACUCUCGGCUCUGCGACGCAGACGGAAUAUGCAAAGCCACUGGGAAGCGUCGCAGCGACCCAGCAUGAGAGCCUACCGGUGAAAGCAGCUCCUUCACCAAGGGCUGACGAGAGUGUCGUCGCGAUUGGCAUGACGCCGACGCAGGGCGCCUAUGCCGCCUUUGUCUCGGAGCAGAUGACGCGCCGCCACAUCGCCUCGCUUCCGGCGCUUCCGUAUGAAAAAGCUCCGAGUCGGUAGUGAAGUCACUGGGGUGACACGCAAGACGGUGAUUGGUGUUGUGUAGAUAUCUCUCUAUCUCUCUGGCGCUCUCUCUCUCUCUGACGCCUGAGGCCCAAAGCAAAUCGGCCAAUAUCUGCUUUUUCGGUUGCUACACCGUCUACGCUGGUGGUCAGCCCACCUUUCUGUGCCCUCUCUGUCCUACCACUCAACGUCUCUCGGAUGCUGGCGUAUGACAAGCGGUAUCGAAGGGCUCUAGAAUGAUGUAUCAUAGCCGCCGUUUUCGGUGCGCAUGGGCGGCAGACCUUUUUUUUCCGGCCUCGCUGUCCUCUCACCCAUGUGCAGCGGCGCCGUGCCGGCCCACCUUGUGUGUCGUUCUGCACGGAUGUGUGUCUCCUGUUGUCUUCCCUUUCUCUCUGUGUCAGCUUUGGAACUUGAACACCGCGGAAGCUGCGAACCAAGGCUCUAUGCUUCUCGUGGCGUGCCCUGAAAGCCCCCCCCCCUCUACGCUGAGCGGCGCCUCGCUGCAUCGUUCUCUUCUCCCGCCUCUCCACCUCCCCCCCCGCACCGCGUUGUCCCUCUCUCACCCCUCUCAUCCAUUCAUGUUGCUUCGACGCACAAAACGUGAGAUGAUCGAUGACGCUUGAGCGGCUAUGGCGAAGUAAAGAAUGGGGGUGGGGGCGCGGCACACGCGCGUCGCUGCUGCCACCUCGCCUGGAGUGCGCCUUUCUGCGGUAUAGGAGAGGCGCGUGAUGAGGCAUGCACGCACGACUCACUUCCUUCUCUGUCCUGGGCAUGUACGUUAACACACACACACACACGCAAACGCUUUUCGCACCGCUCUCUCCCUCUCCGUCUUUCUUCUUUCUCCCUCUUUUGCUGCCUUCUGUUUGUCCCUCCAACUCAUUGGAGAGACGACGCCUUCCCAUCCACCCACGCCACCUUCAUCGUGUGCAG
rnacentral:misc_RNA from 1 species